rnacentral:lncRNA from 1 species
UGCGGGGGCGGCGCAGUUGCGAAACUGAUGCCUGUGUAGAUCAUCCUAGAAUACCUGUGUGGUGCUGUCCUUCCUCAAGACUACCUCAUUCUCACUGGCUCGGAGACUCCUGCCUGCUGAGUGACUACACAGACUUAGUCUUCUCCACUCCGUGUUCCUGCAGCUAGAGACAUGACCUAACACCCUGAUGACCACUCUCAGGGACCUUGAGUGACUGGCCGGUGCACCAUGGAACUUAAAGUAUGGGUGGAUGGAGUUCAG